rnacentral:rRNA from 1 species
AGCUAAUACCGCAUAACGUCGCAAGACCAAAGAGGGGGACCUUCGGGCCUCUUGCCAUCGGAUGUGCCCAGAUGGGAUUAGCUAGUAGGUGGGGUAACGGCUCACCUAGGCGACGAUCCCUAGCUGGUCUGAGAGGAUGACCAGCCACACUGGAACUGAGACACGGUCCAGACUCCUACGGGAGGCAGCAGUGGGGAAUAUUGCACAAUGGGCGCAAGCCUGAUGCAGCCAUGCCGCGUGUAUGAAGAAGGCCUUCGGGUUGUAAAGUACUUUCAGCGGGGAGGAAGGGAGUAAAGUUAAUACCUUUGCUCAUUGACGUUACCCGCAGAAGAAGCACCGGCUAACUCCGUGCCAGCAGCCGCGGUAAUACGGAGGGUGCAAGCGUUAAUCGGAAUUACUGGGCGUAAAGCGCACGCAGGCGGUUUG